rnacentral:rRNA from 1 species
AGUCACUGACAUUAGAUACCCGCGUAGUCCCAGGGUGUAAACGCUGCAGACUUUGGUGUUGGAAAUCCUUCGAGGGUAUUCAGUGCCCGGAGAGAAGUUGUUAAGUCUGCUACUUGGGGAGUACGUCCGCAAGGAUGAAACUUAAGGAAUUGCGGGGAGCACCACAACGGGUGGAGCCUGCGGUUUAAUUGGACUCAACGCCGGAAAUCUCACCGGAUAGGACAGACAUAUGAUAGUCGGGCUGAAGACUCUACUUGAUGAUCUG